GGCCUCUUGUUUGGCUCGUGGCGUGACCGUGAUGAAGAAAUGUUUCUGGGCGCCUGGCAGGGUGCUCUUUCUAUGUCAUGAGUCAGGAUUUUGCCAACGGAAGGAGUCCGCGCAGCGAGAACCGCGGGCCGCCGCUCUCCGGACCGGGAAGCCGCCAGGGAUCCCCGCUCCGCCCCGGGGAGCCGCCGGGCACCGGCACGCGUAAAAUGGACAGUUUCUACUGUGAUGGAUGGUGAGGGUGGCCCCAGCACCACUGCUCCUAGAGCGUCCUGCAGUGCCCAGCAUCAGCACUGAGACAGCUGGGAUCCGUUUGUUUGAAAAGCAAGAAGCAGUUUAGAGAAGAUGAAAAGAUGGCAGUAUGUUUGGAAUCAAAAUCCAUUUUUCUUGAGAAAGAAACUGUCACAAAUUAUUGAAAAGAUAAUAUUUAGAAAGAUCAACUCCAAUUAUUUAUUGCAUUCAUCAUCUGUAAAAAGUUGAAAGCCUUACUAGCUGUUUUCUAAGUAAAAUAAAUUAAAAACUCAUUUUUAGAAUGACUUUUCAGCAUUGCUAAAAAGCAAUAAAGCAAUAAAUUCAGCAAAGCUUUAAAAAACAGCUUAUGUACAGUGAAGCAGCAGAGGGUUUUCCAGUGUCUUCUGUCUCUCCACUUCACAGAAUCAUAGAAUCACAGAAUCACAGGACUGUAGGGGUUGGAAGGGACCUGCAGAGAUCAUCGAGUCCAACCCCGUGCCAAAGCAGGAAUGUUGGACACUGAGGUUGGUUACUGAAAGCAGUGAGAUCAGAACCGGGUGGCAUGGCUGGGGGAUUGCUCUGUGCCCUGAGUUCUGAAGCAGGGCCUCAGCAUCUGACAUUCCCUGACCACAUGUUACCACAGAAGAGUUUUGUGACUGCCCUCCAAUACGGCCAUUGGGAAGGAGAGGGUGGCGGUGGCCGGAGUUUGGCUCCAAGCCGUUCCUCAGUCCAGGCUGUGAGGUCAGUCAUCCCCCCUACGAGGCUGUCUGGAGUUCGUCCAGGGCAGGAAGGGGGCAGCCGUGCUGUGAUUGCUGGCCUGUGCCUUGCCCUUCCCUCGCCCUUCUAACUGUACGCAUCAGCACUGCUCGCCUGCGCAAGGCCUGCUCCACGCACCGAAAGAGAAUCUGUUCAGAUGCGUCUCACAGAGGUAUCAUCACCUUUUUUUGUCAUAUCUGCUGGUUAUGAAGGAAAAAAAGACCCAGUCACAUUUUAAAAAAUUAAACAUUAGAGGAAAAACGUUGCUCUGAUGAGGAAGCUGCACCUGUGGGGAAAGAAGUGGCAUGAAAGCGGUUUUAUUACGUGUAUAAAGCCGCUUCAGAACAUGCAGCUCGAGAGUACAGCAUUCUGGUGAAAUGGGGGACUUCAAGUGAGUUUAAGUCACUGCUUGCCCUGUUCUCAGUGCAAAUUAGUUAAUAAUUCAUUGCAGUGUAAUAUGCUUUUUUCCCCAAGAGAUGCAAACAUUUAGGGAAUUUGGUAAAAGCACAGGCAUGGCAAAAAGAACAAAGAAUUGGCUUUCCUGCCUUUGCUGCAGUCCAGCAGCCGGGCUGCUCCUCGGUGGCCUCUGGGUGCACAGGUGGCCUCUGGUUGUGGAUUUCUUUCAGGGCUUUUCUACAAGAUGCACAAAGUAAAUAAAGACAAUAGGAACACAAAUAAAAGCACAUCUGUUACCGAGGUACUGCAGGAUGUUCCAGGACUGGCCCACGAGGGUCAGUAAUAGAAUGUAGAAUGUAGUGAUUUUACAGCUGGGAUAUUUCUAUCUGUUAUCUAUUGAUUCUGUUGGAAACAUCAGUCUGUAGAGUCAUCAGAACCUCAGUUUUUACUUUGUUGUUGCUGCUGUCCAUGUCGAAGUUUUCUUUUGUAACAAAAGGCCUUUCUGAAAGCAGGCAAGCAGCACGCAGCCCUGGCAGCAGGCGCAUGGGUGCUGCUGGAAGCCACAGGAGCUGCAUCAACUCCAAACCAGGAGCUGCAAGAUCACAGUAGUGUUUCUGGAACAUGGGGACAGAAACAAACAAAGACCAACUGGAUUAUACAGCACGGCGUAUUAAAUAACAUAUGAGGAA